AGUUUCAUCUUUUUACAGUAUUGGUAAGUUGUAGCCUUUCCUUAUUUUUUGAGUUUAAAACUCUUUUUGCCAUCUUGCUACAUCUAUUGCAUCACUUGGCAUGAAAUGUGCAAUUGGCAAACUUAGUGCUAUACGCUAGCAAAGAAGGAAUUUUGAUGAAAGUGUCUAUGGUUAUUGUUGAAGUUUGAAUUGCAGCUGCUUUAGUCUUCUUGUGUUUUCUGUUUUAUUAUCGCAGGUGUAUUUUUGUGAUCUUCUAUCAGAAGUCCCUAAAUGUAUUUCAAGUAUUUUUUUUCUUAGAUGCUAGUGUUGAUUAUUAUCAGAAUUCUGAGAAUUUGGGUGGAGUUUCUUUAAGAGAAUUGUUCAUGCCAUGAAGAUUUCUUUUUAUCCAAAGUUAAUGAGGCAGCCUCUAUGGUAACCUUAGUUGCUGUUCACUGCAGUGCAGUCCAAUGACCUUUAAAUUUCAUCCUUUUGUUGUUUUGGUUAGCCUAAUCCUUAUCCUAUCAAUACCAUUUUAAAAACUCUGAAGCAUCACAUAUUUUCAUAGCCUUUUCUCUUUAAUUAAUUGUCAAGAUGUUACUCCAGUAGUUCCUUUUUAUUCUUGCUUCCAUAUUGACACAUUGUAAUGUAUAAACGGUUUUCGUAAUAUGUAGUAGAUUAGUUCCAUCUAAGUGCAAUAUUUUUGUUAUCAAAUCCUAAAUUUUAUUGUGAUAUUGUUCAGGUUUAACCCUCGGAUAUAUUCUCAUUUUGCAGAAACUUGGUGAAUCCAGCUAAACAUGAUCUAACAGUGAGAAAAAG
rnacentral:misc_RNA from 1 species